rnacentral:rRNA from 1 species
CUUUACUGUAGCCUGAAAUUGAAUUUGGGUUUAUUUUGCGCAGUAUAGGUGGGAGGCUAAGAAGAUAUGUUUGUGGAUAUAUUUGAGCCAAUAGUGAGAUACCACUCUAAUUAAACUAGAAUUCUAACUUUGAUUGCCAUUAGCUGGCCAAGGAACAGUUUCAGGUGGGCAGUUUGACUGGGGCGGUCGCCUCCUAAAAGGUAACGGAGGUGUGCAAAGGUUUCCUCAGGCUGGUCGGAAAUCAGUCGUAGAGUAUAAAGGCAUAAGGAAGCUUGACUGCAAGACCUACAAGUCGAGCAGAGACGAAAGUCGGCCUUAGUGAUCCGACAGUGCUGAGUGGAAAGGCUGUCGCUCAACGGAUAAAAGUUA